UACAGAGGGGGCAAGCGUUGUUCGGAAUUACUGGGCGUAAAGGGCGCGUAGGCGGCCUGUUAAGUCGAACGUGAAAUCCCUGGGCUCAACCCAGGAACUGCGUCCGAUACUGGCAGGCUUGAAUCCGGGAGAGGGAUGUGGAAUUCCAGGUGUAGCGGUGAAAUGCGUAGAUAUCUGGAGGAACACCGGUGGCGAAGGCGGCAUCCUGGACCGGUAUUGACGCUGAGGCGCGAAAGCCAGGGGGAGCAAACGGGG
rnacentral:rRNA from 1 species